ACGUGGAAACACCGGUUCUCGUAGGAUCACCGAAGUUAAGCAACGUCCAGCCUCGUUAGUAUCUUGAUGUGUGACCCCUUGAGAAUGCCAGGAUGCUGUAAG